AGUGAACGCUGGCGGUAGGCCUAACACAUGCAAGUCGAACGGCAGCUCAGUAAGAGCUUGCUCUUACGGGUGGCGAGUGGCGGACGGGUGAGGAAUACAUCGGAAUCUACUUUUUCGUGGGGGAUAACGUAGGGAAACUUACGCUAAUACCGCAUACGACCUACGGGUGAAAGCGGGGGAUCUUCGGACCUUGCGCGAUUGAAUGAGCCGAUGUCGGAUUAGCUAGUUGGCGGGGUAAAGGCCCACCAAGGCGACGAUCCGUAGCUGGUCUGAGAGGAUGAUCAGCCACACUGGAACUGAGACACGGUCCAGACUCCUACGGGAGGCAGCAGUGGGGAAUAUUGGACAAUGGGCGCAAGCCUGAUCCAGCCAUACCGCGUGGGUGAAGAAGGCCUUCGGGUUGUAAAGCCCUUUUGUUGGGAAAGAAAAGCAGCAGGUUAAUACCCCGCUGUUCUGACGGUACCCAAAGAAUAAGCACCGGCUAACUUCGUG
rnacentral:rRNA from 1 species